UACGGAGGGUGCGAGCGUUGUCCGGAAUUAUUGGGCGUAAAGGGCCCGUAGGCGGUUUGUCGCGUCGGGAGUGAAAUCCACUGGCUUAACUGGUGGCUUGCUUUCGAUACGGGCAGACUGGAGGUAUGCAGGGGAGAACGGAAUUCCUGGUGUAGCGGUGAAAUGCGCAGAUAUCAGGAGGAACACCGGUGGCGAAGGCGGUUCUCUGGGCAUGUCCUGACGCUGAGGAGCGAAAGCGUGGGGAGCGAACAGG
rnacentral:rRNA from 1 species